AGCAGCCGCGGUAAUUCCAGCUCCAAUAGCGUAUAUUAAAGUUGUUGCAGUUAAAAAGCUCGUAGUUGAAUUUCGGGAUCAAGUCGUCGGUCGUGCCUCGGUACGCACUGGUGACAUUGGUUUCUCCCUUCUGAAGAACCUUGAUGUCAUUAAUUUGGUGUCUUGGGGAAUCAGGACUGUUACUUUGAAAAAAUUAGAGUGUUUAAAGCAGGCUCACGCUUGAAUACAUUAGCAUGGAAUAAUGAAAUAGGACGUUUGAUUCUAUUUUGUUGGUUUCUAGGAUCGACGUAAUGAUUAAUAGGGAUAGUUGGGGGCAUUAGUAUUCAAUUGUCAGAGGUGAAAUUCUUGGAUUUAUUGAAGACUAACUACUGCGAAAGCAUUUGCCAAGGAUGUUUUCAUUAAUCAAGAACGAAAGUUAGGGGAUCGAAGACGAUCAGAUACCGUCGUAGUCUUAACCAUAAACUAUGCCGACUAGGGAUCGGAUGAUGUUAAUUUUUAAUGGUCUCAUUCGGCGCCUUAA
rnacentral:rRNA from 1 species